GGCGGAGGCGGCUGCGGGGGGAGCGGGGCAGGGACGGGCUCCGGCCCCUCCGGGCACCGCCGGCUCGCUUUUCCUCUUCACCUUCCUUUCCUCUCCUUCCUUUCCUUUCCUCUCCUUCCUUUCCUCUCCUCUCCUUUCUCUUCCAUUUCAUUUUUUUUUUCCAUUUCCCCCCUUUCUUUUCCUUUCUUCUCUUUUAAUUCCCCCUCCCACUUUUCCCAUUUCUUUUCUUCACUCUUCCUUCCUUUCCCCCUUUUCCUUUUUUUUCCAUUUCCCCCCUAUCUUUUCCUUUCUUCUCUUUUAAUUCCCCCUCCCACUUUCCCCGUUUCUUUUCUUCACUCUUCCUUCCUUUCCCCCUUUUCCUUUCUUUUCCUUCCCCCCUUUGUAUUUCUUUAUUUUCCUUUCUUUCCUUAUAACUUCUUUCCCAUUUUCCUCAUUUCUUUUCCUUGCUUUUCCUUCCUUCCCCCUUUUCAUUUUCUUUUCCUUCCCUCCUUUCUUUCCAUUCCCCCUUUCCCCCCUUUCUUUCCAUUCCCCCUUUUCCCUUUCUUUUUCUUUUUUCUUAUUCUUACCCCCCCUUUUUUUUCCGGGUUUCUUCCCUCUCUCACUUUCCCCCCCUUUUCCCUCCCUCUUUUUUCCCCUCCUUACUUUUCCCCCCAUUCUUUCCCUCCUAUAGUUCCUUCCCCUUUUUUCCCUUUUCUAUCCUUUCCCCCACUUCUCUCCUUUUCCCACCAACACCAACACCCUCCUCACAUCCCACUCCCUCUCCACCUUCUCCGUUUCCCCCAGGCCACGGAGCCCUUUUCCACGGGGAAUGUGGGAAAAGCAGGGAGCAGCUGUGAGGCUGUGGGCAGGGUCCCUCCCGCUGCUCCCACCUGCCAGGGGCUGGGUGGGGAAUCCUUGUCACUCCACAGAUUCCUGCAUCCACAUCCCGGCUGCCGGGAGCUCCCUACCUGUCCGAGCACCGCCCGUGCAAGGCCGGACAAGGAGCUCACCCUGCCUGGGGAAGGAGCAGCUUUCCACGGGGUUUUCUCCCACCAGCACUGA
rnacentral:lncRNA from 1 species